rnacentral:rRNA from 1 species
GACGAACGCUGGCGGCAUGCCUAACACAUGCAAGUCGAACGAUGCCUCCGGGCAUAGUGGCGCACGGGUGCGUAACGCGUGGGAAUCUGCCCUUGGGUUCGGAAUAACUCGCCGAAAGGCGAGCUAAUACCGGAUGAUGACGUAAGUCCAAAGAUUUAUCGCCCAAGGAUGAGCCCGCGUAGGAUUAGCUAGUUGGUGGGGUAAAGGCCCACCAAGGCGACGAUCCUUAGCUGGUCUGAGAGGAUGAUCAGCCACACUGGGACUGAGACACGGCCCAGACUCCUACGGGAGGCAGCAGUGGGGAAUAUUGGACAAUGGGCGAAAGCCUGAUCCAGCAAUGCCGCGUGAGUGAUGAAGGCCUUAGGGUUGUAAAGCUCUUUUACCCGGGAUGAUAAUGACAGUACCGGGAGAAUAAGCUCCGGCUAACUCCGUG